AGUGAACGCUGGCGGUAGGCCUAACACAUGUAAGUCGAACGGCAGCACAGUAAGAGCUUGCUCUUACGGGUGGCGAGUGGCGGACGGGUGAGGAAUACAUCGGAAUCUACUUUUUCGUGGGGGAUAACGUAGGGAAACUUACGCUAAUACCGCAUACGACCUACGGGUGAAAGCAGGGGAUCUUCGGACCUUGCGCGAUUGAAUGAGCCGAUGUCGGAUUAGCUAGUUGGCGGGGUAAAGGCCCACCAAGGCGACGAUCCGUAGCUGGUCUGAGAGGAUGAUCAGCCACACUGGAACUGAGACACGGUCCAGACUCCUACGGGAGGCAGCAGUGGGGAAUAUUGGACAAUGGGCGCAAGCCUGAUCCAGCCAUACCGCGUGGGUGAAGAAGGCCUUCGGGUUGUAAAGCCCUUUUGUUGGGAAAGAAAAGCAGCAGGUUAAUACCCCGCUGUUCUGACGGUACCCAAAGAAUAAGCACCGGCUAACUUCG
rnacentral:rRNA from 1 species